GUGCCAGCCGCCGCGGUAAUACGGGGGGGGCAAGCGUUGUUCGGAAUUACUGGGCGUAAAGGGCUCGUAGGUGGCCACCUAAGUCCGACGUGAAAUCCCUCGGCUCAACCGGGGAACUGCGUCGGAUACUGGGUGGCUUGAAUCCGGGAGAGGGACGUGGAAUUCCAGGUGUAGCGGUGAAAUGCGUAGAUAUCUGGAGGAACACCGGUGGCGAAGGCGGCGUCCUGGACCGGUAUUGACACUGAGGAGCGAAAGCCAGGGGAGCAAACGGGAUUAGAUACCCUUGUAGUCC
rnacentral:rRNA from 1 species